AUACGGAGGAUCCGAGCGUUAUCCGGAUUUAUUGGGUUUAAAGGGUGCGCAGGCGGCCAUUUAGGUCAGCGGUUAAAUCGUGGGGCUCAACCCCAUUCUGCCGUUGAUACUGGGUGGCUUGAUUGCGGUCGAGGUUGGCGGAAUUCGUUGUGUAGCGGUGAAAUGCAUAGAUAUGACGAAGAACACCGAUUGCGUAGGCAGCUGACCAGAUCGCAAAUGACGCUCAUGCACGAAAGUGCGGGGAUCGAACAGGAUUAGAUACCCUGGUAGUCCGCACAGUAAACGAUGAAUACUUGUUUUCGGCGAUAUAAUGUCGGAGGCAAAGCGAAAGCGAUAAGUAUUCCACCUGGGGAGUACGCCGGCAACGGUGAAACUCAAAUGAAUUGACGGGG
rnacentral:rRNA from 1 species